GACGAACGCUGGCGGCGUGCUUAACACAUGCAAGUCGAACGGAAGGGCCCUGCUUUUGUUGGGUGCUCGUGUGGCGCACGGGUGAGAAACACGUGAGUAACCUGCCCUUAUCUGUCUGAUAACUUCAGGAAACUGGGGCUAAUACCGGAUAGGAUCUCCUGCUCCAUGUUGUUGGUUGGAAAGUUUCGGCGGUUGGGGAUCGAAUCGCGGGUUAUCAGCUUGUUGGUGGGGUAGUUACUUUCCAAGGCUUUGACGGGUAGCCGGCCUGAGAGGGUGACCGGGCACAUUGGGACUGAGAUAGGGCCCAGACUGCUACGGGAGGCAGCAGUGGGAAAUAUUGCGCAGUAGGCGGAAGUCUGAUACAGAGACGCCGCGUGCGGGAUGACGGCUUUCGGGUUAUAAACCGCUUUGGACUGUGACGAAGAGUGAGUGACGGUAAUGGGUAAAGAAGCACCGGCUAACUACGUG
rnacentral:rRNA from 1 species